UAGAUGGUGCUCACGUCACUCUCCCUAGGAUCUUUACCCUUUCCUAGAUAAAUGUCGUGGGCACUAAAAA
rnacentral:ncRNA from 1 species